GGCUGGUCCCCUUCCGUCCAGGACGGACCAGGCGGGCGAGGGGCGAGGAGGACAGGGCAGCCGGGCAGGGUAUCCACCGCCCUGCCCAGUCCCGCCGUCUCCAUGGCGACGGCUACCUCACCGCGGAGGCGGGGAGAGCUGCAGGUGAUCUCUGGGAGUCUUGCUUCUCAGACCAGCAUCAGCACCACUUGGGAGCUUGUAGGAAAUAAAGAAUCCCAGGCCCCACACAGACCUUCUCAAUCAGAAUCUGCAGCGUAAUAAGGUCUCCCAGAAAUUCGGAUAUGUGGGAAAGCUUGAGAAGCACUUCUGGGCCGUCACCACCCAGAAAGAGCACACCUCAGGGACGAGUUAAUGUGUGUCAAAGUGCUGUGUAAGCCGUAAAGCACAGUGUAAAUGCCAAAUGGAUUCCUCCGGGACAGAAGUGAGAGAAGCCUGGAGAAGAGGAGAAGCAGGGCUGUGAGAAGGCAGACGGGAGGCUGCUGCGGGGAAGCAGAAUUCUCUCUGGUUGCUCAACUGGGUAGCUGAAGCAAGAUGGAAAAGCUUCCCUGAGUGGAGCCCCAGGAUCAGCCCCUGGAAGCUCUAACUUGCCAGAGCCCCCAUCAGGCACCAAAAGCAGGGUAGCCCGCGUGAGUCCUCCCGGAAUAACCGAGCCCUCCCGAUAUUUACCACGAGGGGGCGCUGCUCCCCAGCCUACGUCCCACUGGACCCCACCUGCUCUCAAGAAAUUAGGCCUUGGAAGGAGUCCUGAUGAGCAAGCUCCAGGGGCUUUGAGAAGUGGAAAAGGAAGUCAGGCAGGAUGGAGGGAGCCUACCGAACAGCUCUCGUUCCCACUUUACAGAUGAGGAAUCUGAGGUCCAGAGAUGUCGGAUCAGAUCCCCCAAACCAGGAAGUUAGGGAGAGGCCGGGUCUGGGUCAUUUGAUUCCAACCUCAGUUCCCAAGGAGACCACAAGUGGCUGCCAGCUCCUCUGACCCUGUCCUGUCGCUGGUGCGCCUGCUUCUACUCACCCUGUAUUCUGGGAGGUGGCUGGAACUCCCAGCACAACUGUAUUCCCACAAUUCCAACAGCCAGACCUCAGAAAGGUAGCCCUGUUCCUAAACUUUUUGAGGUGGUGGGCUCCCUUCCCUCCGGGCUUCAAGAAGCCCCACCUGCCACCCCAACCUAGCAGCCUCCCCACUCAGGCGGACCCUGAGGUCUCUUCUCCAGAAUCUGGCUCUGGGCCCCCCAAAAUCAUGUCCUCUUCCACGUCCCCUCCCCACCCCAGGGACCCCCCCAUGGGUUCUCGUUUGCACCCUGGCGCCCCACUGCAGGCAGAAGCACCAACAAGGGGACGUUUGAGCCUGUGGCUGGGGCCAAACCAGGCACCAAGGUUUUUUUUCCUCCGCUCCCACCAACUCCUUUUAUGGUCUCUGGGUCCAGUUCCUUCUUCAUAAUAAGUCGUAACUGGAAAGGCCUCAGAAGUCACUGAGCCCGACUCCAGCCAACACUUUCCUUUUCUAAAGAGAAAAAAAAAAUCUUUAGCCUCCAAGCGUGUUCCUAAGACCAGGACCGGCAGGCGGCGUCCUGAACGGGAGGGAAAC